AACGAACGCUGGCGGCGUGCCUAACACAUGCAAGUUGAACGCCCGUAGCAAUACGGGAGUGGCAGACGGGUGAGUAACGCGUGGGAACGUGCCCUUCGGUUUGGAAUAACUCAGGGAAACUUGAGCUAAUACCAAAUACGUCCGUAAGGAGAAAGAUUUAUCGCCGAAGGAUCGGCCCGCGUCGGAUUAGCUAGUUGGUGAGGUAACGGCCCACCAAGGCGACGAUCCGUAGCUGGUCUGAGAGGAUGAUCAGCCACACUGGGACUGAGACACGGCCCAGACUCCUACGGGAGGCAGCAGUAAGGAAUAUUGCGCAAUGGGCGAAAGCCUGACGCAGCGACGCCGCGU
rnacentral:rRNA from 1 species